ACACGGGAGGUUGAGAUAUGAACGACUCCGGCCUGAAAGGGCCCGGAAACCGUGUUCCGUAGGUGAACCUGCGGAAGGAUCAUUACAGAGUUAGGGUCCCCUGGGCCCGAUCUCCAACCCCAUGUAUCAACGUACCUCUUGUUGCUUCGGCGGGCCCGCCCCGGUAUCCCCGGGGCACCGUGCCCGCCGGAGGCCCUCAUAAACUCUUCUAUAAGAUGCAGUCUGAGUCGUUUUUUAAUUAAAGCAAAACUUUCAACAACGGAUCUCUUGGUUCUGGCAUCGAUGAAGAACGCAGCGAAAUGCGAUAAGUAAUGUGAAUUGCAGAAUUCAGUGAAUCAUCGAAUCUUUGAACGCACAUUGCGCUCCCGGGCAUUCCCGGGAGCAUGCCUGUUCGAGCGUCAUUUCAACCCUCAAGCCCGGCUUGUCAGUUGGGCCCGCCCCUCACCGGGCGGGCCUGAAAGGAAGUGACGGCGUCGCGCCCGACCCUCAGCGAAACAAAGAUUCGUCUAUCGCUCGGGGGGCGGCCGGUUCCUGUCUGACCACAAA
rnacentral:rRNA from 1 species